UACGUAGGGCGCAAGCGUUGUCCGGAAUUAUUGGACGUAAAGAGCUCGUAGGCGGCCUGUUGCGUCCGCUGUGAAAUCCCGGGGCUUAACCCCGGGCCUGCAGUGGAUACGGGCAGGCUGGAGGCAGGCAGGGGAGAACGGAAUUCCCGGUGUAGCGGUGAAAUGCGCAGAUAUCGGGAGGAACACCUGCGGCGAAGGCGGGUAGCUGGGCCGACACUGACGCUGAUGCGCGAAAGCCAGGGGAGCGAACGGG
rnacentral:rRNA from 1 species